rnacentral:rRNA from 1 species
AGCUCCAGUAGCGUAUAUUAAAGUUGUUGCAGUUAAAAAGCUCGUAGUUGGAUUUCUGACUCGACGGGACUGACCCGCCUCCACAGGAGUGUGUGUGUCGGUUUUCCGUCGGUCAUCCUUCCACAGAACGCAUCUACCUUUCAUUGGGCCGGAUGUGCUAUGUGGAACUUUUACUUUGAAAAAAUUAGAGUGUUCAAAGCAGGCUCGCGCUAUGAAUACAUUAGCAUGGAAUAAUAAUUUAGGACUUUUAUCCUAUUUUGUUGGUUUUCAGGAAAAAAGUAAUGAUUGAUAGGGAUAGUUGGGGGUGCUAGUAUUCAGCGGCCAGAGGUGAAAUUCUUGGAUUCGCUGAAGACUAACUUAUGCGAAAGCAUUCACCAAGGAUGUCUUCUUUA